CCAAGUUUUUCAUGAACAAUGGGUACAAGGGUAUGUCCUUAAACUGCUUAAGUCAUAAGAGGUCAUAAGAGGCAGCUCCAGAAUUACCCGUAGUGAGCAGUUACCAUGCAUAGCUGGUUUCUCUUUGCCAGAAUUAUCAGUUAUUAUUAAAAGUGAGGGGAUAGAGUUGCAUUGUAUUAUUAGGAAGUUAUAGUUAUCUGAGCAAUUCAAGGGAGGAGCCCUGGGGCUGGAGGUGGGAGGGGAAAGAAAGCAGAAUAGAGAGUAUUCGGGUCAGGAUCAAGAAGAAAAAACUGGAAAUGCUAUUGCCCUGGGAGUACACUGCCACUUAAACUGAAGGAACAAACUGGCAUGAAGACAAGCUACAGUAAAAAUGAAAAAUUUAAAUGAUUCCGAACUGCAGUGGUUCUUCAUUUCUGCGAAGAGUGUGGAGUUCAUAAACACUCGAUUUGCCUUGGUGAUCAUUAAACUCUUCAAAAAAGUGGAGUGAGUGGAGGAAACCUGGACUCUGGGCUUGUUUUGGAUCAACAAGGAGGAACUGGUUGCUAAAGUAGAAGUUAUGGGAAACUCAGGGGCAGCUAGGUGCUUCAGUGUAUUGAGAGCCAGAUCUACAGUGGGGAGAACCUGGCUUCAAAUCUGAACUCCAACACUACUUACUACCUGUGGGAUCUUGGGCAACUCAUUUAACCCCAAUUGCCUCACCUUUACUGUUCUUUUGCUUUAGAAUGGUUAGUUGUAUUGAUUCUAAGACAGAAGGUAAGAGUUUUAUCCUUUUUUUUAGGAAAAAAAUUUGGGGAGGCUUGAGAAGAAGACAUAAUUCUAUCCAUGAAUUCAUAAUGGAAGAGGAAAGGAAAGGUGAUCAAGGAAAAGAAACUGUAUGCCCCAAAAUAUUUCUAGCAGUUCUUUUUGUGAUAUCAAAGAAAUGGAAACUAAAGGAUAUCUAUCAAUUGGAGAAUGGCUGAACAAGUUGUGGUAUAUAAUUAUAUUGGAAUACUACUGUGCCAUAAGAAAUGGCAGACAAAAUGAUCACAAAAAAUCUGGAAAGUGGUGCAAAGUGAUGUAAGCAGAACCAGGACAGUAUUGUACACAGUAAGACAAUAAAGUAUGAUUAUCAAACA
rnacentral:lncRNA from 1 species